rnacentral:rRNA from 1 species
AUUGAACGCUGGCGGCAGGCCUAACACAUGCAAGUCGAACGGUAACAGGAAGAAGCUUGCUUCUUUGCUGACGAGUGGCGGACGGGUGAGUAAUGUCUGGGAAACUGCCUGAUGGAGGGGGAUAACUACUGGAAACGGUAGCUAAUACCGCAUAACGUCGCAAGACCAAAGAGGGGGACCUUCGGGCCUCUUGCCAUCGGAUGUGCCCAGAUGGGAUUAGCUAGUAGGUGGGGUAACGGCUCACCUAGGCGACGAUCCCUAGCUGGUCUGAGAGGAUGACCCGCCACACUGGAACUGAGACACGGCCCAAACUCCUACGGGAGGAAGCAGUGGAGAAUAUUGCACAAUGGGCGCAAGCCUGAUGCAGCCAUGCCGCGUGGAGGAAGAAGGCCUUCGGGUUGUAAAGUACUUUCAGCGGGGAGGAAGGGAGUAAAGUUAAUACCUUUGCUCAUUGACGUUAACCGCAGAAGAAGCAACGGCUAACUCCGUG